rnacentral:rRNA from 1 species
GAAUGCUGACAUAAGUAACGAUAAAGCGGGUGAAAAGCCCGCUCGCCGGAAGACCAAGGGUUCCUGUCCAACGUUAAUCGGGGCAGGGUGAGUCGACCCCUAAGGCGAGGCCGAAAGGCGUAGUCGAUGGGAAACAGGUUAAUAUUCCUGUACUUGGUGUUACUGCGAAGGGGGGACGGAGAAGGCUAUGUUGGCCGGGCGACGGUUGUCCCGGUUUAAGCGUGUAGGCUGGUUUUCCAGGCAAAUCCGGAAAAUCAAGGCUGAGGCGUGAUGACGAGGCACUACGGUGCUGAAGCAACAAAUGCCCUGCUUCCAGGAAAAGCCUCUAAGCAUCAGGUAACAUCAAAUCGUACCCCAAACCGACACAGGUGGUCAGGUAGAGAAUACCAAGGCGCUUGAGAGAACUCGGGUGAAGGAACUAGGCAAAAUGGUGCCGUAACUUCGGGAGAAGGCACGCUGAUAUGUAGGUGAAGCGACUUGCUCGUGGAGCUGAAAUCAGUCGAAGAUACCAGCUGGCUGCAACUGUUUAUUAAAAACACAGCACUGUGCAAACACGAAAGUGGACGUAUACGGUGUGACGCCUGCCCGGUGCCGGAAGGUUAAUUGAUGGGGUUAGCGGUAACGCGAAGCUCUUGAUCGAAGCCCCGGUAAACGGCGGCCGUAACUAUAACGGUCCUAAGGUAGCGAAAUUCCUUGUCGGGUAAGUUCCGACCUGCACGAAUGGCGUAAUGAUGGCCAGGCUGUCUCCACCCGAGACUCAGUGAAAUUGAACUCGCUGUGAAGAUGCAGUGUACCCGCGGCAAGACGGAAAGACCCCGUGAACCUUUACUAUAGCUUGACACUGAACAUUGAGCCUUGAUGUGUAGGAUAGGUGGGAGGCUUUGAAGUGUGGACGCCAGUCUGCAUGGAGCCGACCUUGAAAUACCACCCUUUAAUGUUUGAUGUUCUAACGUUGGCCCCUGAUCGGGGUUGCGGACAGUGUCUGGUGGGUAGUUUGACUGGGGCGGUCUCCUCCUAAAGAGUAACGGAGGAGCACGAAGGUUGGCUAAUCCUGGUCGGACAUCAGGAGGUUAGUGCAAUGGCAUAAGCCAGCUUGACUGCGAGCGUGACGGCGCGAGCAGGUGCGAAAGCAGGUCAUAGUGAUCCGGUGGUUCUGAAUGGAAGGGCCAUCGCUCAACGGAUAAAAGGUACUCCGGGGAUAACAGGCUGAUACCGCCCAAGAGUUCAUAUCGACGGCGGUGUUUGGCACCUCGAUGUCGGCUCAUCACAUCCUGGGGCUGAAGUAGGUCCCAAGGGUAUGGCUGUUCGCCAUUUAAAGUGGUACGCGAGCUGGGUUUAGAACGUCGUGAGACAGUUCGGUCCCUAUCUGCCGUGGGCGCUGGAGAACUGAGGGGGGCUGCUCCUAGUACGAGAGGACCGGAGUGGACGCAUCACUGGUGUUCGGGUUGUCAUGCCAAUGGCACUGCCCGGUAGCUAAAUGCGGAAGAGAUAAGUGCUGAAAGCAUCUAAGCACGAAACUUGCCCCGAGAUGAGUUCUCCCUGACUCCUUGAGAGUCCUGAAGGAACGUUGAAGACGACGACGUUGAUAGGCCGGGUGUGUAAGCGCAGCGAUGCGUUGAGCUAACCGGUACUAAUGAACCGUGAGG